UGGCGCCCCACCCCCUCCGGAAUCGUCAGUUGCCCUGGCUCAGCGACCACCCUUCAGGCUCCCCAACUCCCGUUGGUCCCGAACUCCCCUCCCCCGCACCCCAUCCUUUCGGAUCCCAGUUGCUCCAGGUGGGCGGGUGCUACCACCCCCACCGCUCGGUUCGGUGCUGCGGCUGUCAGUGCCCAGCAGGGGCGGGGUCAGUGGAGCCCCGCGCGGGGGUCGGAGUAGGGAGGAUUGACGAGGUCGGCCAGCACCCAACCCUCCAGACUUCGGGUCUUAUAGCACGAACCCCUUGAAGUCUGCGUGGGUACACACCACAGUAGAUUUUGGUGCUUUCCCAGCCUUCUUGGUAUAAAGUUACAGCAAGAAGACGUGAAAGGUUGGGAAAGGAGACCUCUGAUUCCAAGGACUCGUUCAAAAGAUGCUGAGACCGAGGCUUAAGCUUCAGGGCACCUCGGCCCCACCUGCUGGCCGGAGACGGUAGCGCUGCCCCAGCCGCUCAGUGCUUAUGGGGCUGGCAGAGGGAUGGGAUGGGGCUGGCUGGGAAGAAGAGGUCGCUGAGGCCCCGCCUGGGAGCUGCAGAGCUGGGGCAAACCUGGGGCUCUGGGCAGGUCUGCCCCAGGCAGUAUACUGUGGAGAAUGAAACUUUUCUAAAUGAUCAAUAAAAAAGCCAAAGUGGAG
rnacentral:lncRNA from 10 species